rnacentral:rRNA from 1 species
GAUUGCAGUCAUAACCACCCUGGAUGCACUGAUCCUGUUUGAUUUAGCAAGCUAAGCAGAAUCAGGCGUGGUUAGUGCUUGGAUGGGGGACUACCAGGAAACACCAAAGGUCUCCAGACA